rnacentral:rRNA from 1 species
CAGUCGCCGCGGGAAUACGUAGGGUGCAAGCGUUAAUCGGAAUUACUGGGCGUAAAGCGUGCGCAGGCGGUUCGCUAAGACAGAUGUGAAAUCCCCGGGCUUAACCUGGGAACUGCAUUUGUGACUGGCGGGCUAGAGUAUGGCAGAGGGGGGUAGAAUUCCACGUGUAGCAGUGAAAUGCGUAGAGAUGUGGAGGAAUACCGAUGGCGAAGGCAGCCCCCUGGGCCAAUACUGACGCUCAUGCACGAAAGCGUGGGGAGCAAACAGGAUUAGAUACCCGGGUAGUCCCUGUCUCUUAUAC